GCUUCCUCUUUUCGACCGUGUAUCGGAUUGAUCACAGCGAAAGGAGACGGUUGUAUUUUUCUACAAAUUACCUUGUGUCUUUGGCCUGCUUUAAUUGCGUUAGCUUAUAUUUAAUUGAUAUUUUAGUCCUAUUAAAUUUCCUUUUUCCGUGUAAUAUUUUCUUUUAAUUUUACUCUGCUUUCCCACCCCCCUUUGGUCUUUAAUUCCCCCCUACUCCCCCCCCCUUUAGCUUACCUUAACAUUGGGUCUUCUAAUUUGGUGACAGGCCUCUCCAAGGCCUGUUUUCUUUAAUUCGUUGCCCCGGCUGCCCCUUUUCUGCCAGUCCUGGGUGAAGGGUGGGCCUGGCUGAGGGCGCAGCAGCCUCGGCCUGGCCUUGGGCGGCCGUUUUUUAGGCCUUUUUUGGCGGCGCCUGGUGCCGCACCGCGGCGGGGGGUGCCUCCCGCAUUGCCAGGCCCUUGGGAGGCCUUGCCAUGAGCUCCCCCCCCACCCUAUUCUUUAAAGGGCUGGUUUUGGCCUUGUUAGCCUGGCAGGCCUUCCCUGCGAAACAUUUUAUGUCUGGCCUAGCAGGUGAUCCUAGGGCUUUCCUUGAGAAUUUGAUGGCCUCUGGCAGCAAUUUCCGGCCUGAAUAGCGUCCCCAUGUGGUGCAUGAAGCAUUGGUUUCACUGGUUCCUCACAUUAUUUAGUUUUUUGCAGACUAUGGCAGGGCCUUUGCAGAUGCCUCCAGAGCUUGCCUCUCCUGCAGAGGAUGUUUUGCUGAUGCCCCAGGUGCCUUCUUCUGGAAGAAAGCGUCUUCAGAGGCGGCGAUCCAGGAGGGGAGGGCAAAGAAGAGCAGAGAUGAUACUUAUACUUCCUCACAGGGAGUGGACUAGAAGAUUGUUGGUGUCCCUUCCAACUCUACGAUUCUAUAAGUAGCAAUUCACUAUGAUGGGGAUGUUAGACGCAGGGCUGCCAUCAUCCCCACAGCUUGCUGGGAUCGCAGGGAGGGGGACGUGUGGACCACUUGCGCAGCUCCACAUUUCAAAUGGAAAUUCCCUGAGCAGUAGAACCUGAAACUGGUGUGCAGGAAGCUGGCCCGGCGGCAGCUUUGUUGUUUAGGGGUUCUGGACAGUGGCAGCCCUGUAAAUUCACACAUCUUAGGUGGCAGCACAAGACGCCCCCUGCCCAAGCAGGGGCUGGGAGCUGGCAAGCAAUAGCUCCUCAUCUCUGGCCCAUAUUCCCAUAAAAUUAUCUCCCUCGAAAGCCUGGCUAAAAGGUUAUCUAGAGGAGUCAGCGACUUUGUGCUUGUGGAAAGGGUUUUCUCAAGGUUUAGGAUUCCUCUGGCUUUUCAGCCAGUGGCACGGAAUACAGCAAAUCAAAAGUCAGUUAGAGAGCCACCUGAGGUAGCCAGAAAGAAGGUCAGGUAGCAGCUUGCAUUGGGACGUAUGGUGGGACCCCUAAGAAAGCCCCAUAUAAUUCCAUCUGAUCCUUAUUUAUCGCAUCCCUAAGGCACCUCAGUGAAUCACGCUAUCCUUAAGGAAUUGUUCCGCGAAGUUCACGUCUUUGGAGCAGGCGGUUGAGCUUACCACAAAAUUGGAAGAGGUGCCUUGUUGGCAAUAUGCUAUAUUGAAACGGCUGUUAGGCUGCUGCUGGUUCACCCACGAGAUUUUAAGUGGUUGGGCUUUAAUUUGGAUGGGGCUCCUUAUAUUGAUAAGGCGAUGCCGAUGGGUUGCACAAUAGACUGUGCAGCACUCGAGUCCUUUAGCGCCUUUCUGGAUUGAACAGUGCGAGUCUAUACUCAUUUAACUGGGGGUACCAUUUUUUGGAUUAUUUUACUGGCUGGUUCAUGUGACACCAGCCUCUGUGUAGGCUUGCUAGACAUCCUUUAUUCCCUCUGAGGAGCUGGGUGUUUCAUAGGCAGUGGAUGGGACCCCCUCUUAAUAUUUGGGGGUUAGCUGGAUACCGUUGCUCAAACAUCUGCUUGCCUGUGGGGAAGCUGUUUGCCUUCAAGGAAGUUAUUUUGUUAUACUUCUUCUGAAGCAAGUGUUGCUUUGUCAAAUCCUAUCAUUUGCUAGGUCAGUUAAAUUAAUUUUGCAUGCAGCUUGGUUGCCCCAGGCCACCCCUUCCGUUCCCACUUGGCCAGGCUGCCUGUGGCCCGAGGUCCCCUUACCUUCGUGUACGCUUACCAAGUGAGGGGGAAGGCGGAUCUCAUGCGGUGGUUGCAGUUCCUAAAUGGAUGCAAUAGUAGUUCACCAUGGCAGGAUACCUUGAACCUGCACAGCAAUUUUCAGGUUCAUGCUGAUGCUGCUGGAUCUUUGGCCUUUGGUUUUUAUUUCAGGGGCUGUUGGUGUGCAAAGCCAUGGCCUCAAGCCUGGUGUGGUGAGGCUGUCAUGUGUCCUAACUUUGCUUGAGUUUUCCCCAUUGUAGUAGCAGUUCACAUCUGGACCGAGGAGUUCAGUGACCGUUGGAUCGGCUUUUGGCCUGAUAACCAGGCAGUGGUGAGCAUCUUGGCAGAACAGUCCUCACGCUCCAGCAGAGUCUCCACCCCUCCGCUCACGCUUUUGAGCUGCACUGCUUAAGGUUUAAUAUUGUGCUUGCUGCUCACCUGAUUAUGGGAUCCUCUAAUUAUAUUGCUGACACUCUAUCCCAUUUUCAGAUGGAGUGCUUCAGAUCCUGGGCUCCAGACUCUCAGCUAUUGCCGGACUUUUCCGGACCACCUGUUGCACUUUGACAACAAUUAGUAAUUACAGGGAGUAGCAGUUUCCAUUCCCCUUCUGCUUUUAGCUCUUAUGAGAAGGCCUGGAUGGAUUUCUUAGGGUUUAGUUGACAGCCCUUGGCCAUUCAGAGGAACUUGCCCCCAUCCACUGAGCAGAUCCUGCAGUAUUUUGGUCCACCUGCUGCAGAUUGGAUGUGCUGUUAAAACUAUCAGUAUUCAGUCUGCUGCAAUGUCUGUUAAAGUAAAGCUUUAAUUUGCAGAGACCCUGGUAUAAAGUCUGUUGUGUGCAGGGCCUUGGAAGGUUGGAAUAGGCUCCAACCUCAUACGACAGUGGGCAGGAAGUCGGUCAGUUUUUACCUAUGCAGUAUCUGCAACAAGUUAUAACUUGUCUGCUGGUUAAAGAUCAAGGCGAGACUCCUUUCAGUAUUCCAUUGCAUUUUUGGUGCACUGAGGGUUGGGGAAAUUGUGUUGGAGCCAGCACGGGGCUGAGAGUAUGGAGGCUUAUUGCUUCAGGACUUUUCCUUAUCUGCUUUGGAGCUGGUCAUUAGAGUUGGGAACUCUAAAACAGACCUAGUGGGCAGGAGUGCCACCAUUAGGCUUCCCCUCACAGGUGAGGAGGGCCUUUGCCCAGUUAUGGAUACCAGAAAUAUUUGGCUUUUCAUUCCCCUGGGGGCUGGCCUGCUCCUAGUCCAUGAAAAUGGGUUCCCAUUAGCCAGGCAUCAAUGUGCUUACAUCGUGCACCAGUUAUUAUGGCCUGCGGCAUGCCUACCGCUGAACACGCCUCAUUCCUUCCGAAUAGGGCUGCUGCAAAGGCUGCACACUGGGGGCCUGUCAGUAGACAGGAUUGUGAAUACGGGUCAUUGGAAGUCUGAUGCUGACAAGGGUUACAUCAGGAAGUGUCACCAAUGAUGUCUGUGCUGAUGCCUGUCUGUUAUUUCCUUUUUUCAUAGGAGCAGCUGUGCACAUUUGGAUUGUCGGUCACAGCAUUGUACACUGGGCUGGCAAGCGCGCUGACGAGUCUGGACUGGGGCGCCAUCUCAGUCUUCCUGCCCAUGUGAACAUAUACUGGGUGUCCAGAUGGGGAAUGCUUUGGAAGGAGUUCCUUCCUUUGGUGCGGUCGAGUGUGACCUGUGCAGGUCCUCCCGCAGUGCUAGUGGUGCAGCUGGACGAGAAUAACUUGCCGUCUUCUUACAGCAUAAGUUUGCGUUCCUGCAUGCAGGAGGACUUGGAUGAGUUGAUGGCAGCUCUCCCUGGACUCAAAAUAAUUUAAGGCAUUGGUUCAAGGUGGUCUGGAGGGGGGGUCGGAGCACCUGUCCCCUCCAAUGCGCAAAGGUAAUCCUUUAAAGGAAUCCAAGGAUUCGCCAUGCUUUUGUCGACCCCUUUUGAGGGGUAGGGCCACGCAAGGGUCCCUGGAGCAUUUGGGGUGCGCUUGAGUCUGAUCCUGGUUCAUUGCUCCCCCACGAUGUUUGCUUGUACUGACGAUAUGGUGGGGCCCAGUCGUCAGUGCUGCCCUGCUGCGGUCAGGUGCAGAUAGUUGGAACCAAUGCCUAGACAAACUACCACCGAGCAGGCCAGAAAGCAUGUUAAUAAGGCGGUGGAAAAUAAAAUAAAAUAAAAUAAAAUAAAUAAAUAAAAUAAAAUAACCAAUAAAAUAAAAUAGGUCCUUGCUUUAGGUGGUUCUGCGAUAUUGCACCCUGCUAUUUCCUUCAAGGCUGUUGCCCUCUUUAGGGCAGAUGGGGUACAUCUUUCCCCUAUAGGGAAUGACACCUGGCUGGAUGCGGUUGCUUUGGGAUUGAAGGAAGGGUUGCAGUUGUGAGUGGUUGGUGGCGAGCUUGAGUGCUCGGUGGCGGUUAGGCAUUGGUUUAUGGUUUGGUUGGUUGAGGGGAAGUGGUUGAGUGCCUGCCCUUGGUAGGUUGAGUGCCUGCCCCUCUAAUGCUGCUGCGGCAAGGGAUUCCGUUAAAGGAAUUGGGGGCUAACUAUUGCUUGUCCACUCUGUCAAGGGGGCUCGGGCCAUAGCAAUGAGCUCCUGGUUGCAUUUGGGGUGAGGGCAGGUUCCCUGCUCCACGUAACCCCCAAGUGUAUUCCCCUAUUCUGAUUUUCGCAUCGUGCGGAAUGUCAGUCUGUCCCCCAUGGUGGGGGCAGAUAGUCGGAACCAAUGCCUAAGCAACUACUCACAAAUUUGUAUUUCAAUAAAGUUGUGGCCAAAAUUAUGCCAAA